AAUAACUUAGCAAAACAUAUGCGAUUGACUUAGGAUCAAUAGAUAACUUCUUGUUAGUUA
rnacentral:tRNA from 1 species